AUGGGGAUGGCAAAUGAAAAACAAACUCUGUGCCACAAGUGAGAGAGAGGAAGGAAGGAAACCCCUGCUCCUCCCCAGGCCCCAGAAGAGAUCGGUUCGCAGCAGGACUGGUGCUGCUUCACUCCAUUCUACAGAUCCCAGAACAAGGGGGCAGGAUGCAGCAAAAAACACCCUUUCUAUGGACACGAACCCUGAGGGUACCCACUACUUUUCCUUGCUCCCUGCACGGUGCGUGGGGCCUGUGCCCAUCUGGGGACCCUUUUUUAUGGGUGGGGCUCUAUCCCCCCAAUUUUCUUUCUGGGUUUUAUUUUUCCAUGUUUUCAGUUGUACGAUAAUAAUACCUCUCCCCUCCUCAGCUCCAUGAGCACUUCAGCUCUAAGGGAUCCCCAGGAUUUGUUUUCACCCUGAACAGAUAAAGGCUUUUUUUUUUUGGUUAUUUCCCUAAGGAACUGGUGCAGAUCAGGUCUGAUUUAUAAACAAGCAGCUCAGCUGUGUAAAUGUGGGGACAGAAUGUUCAGCUAAUGUUGCAAAAGGAAAGGAAAAAAAAAAAAAGUUGUACAGUAUUUUUCCUGUAAAGGUUAUUACUAUAUAUAGAACAAAAGAGAAACCACCAAUGCCGAGGGGUGGAGGGGGAGGUGUCACCUGCCUUCUGGAUAGCCCUUACAUAUGGUUAAUUGUGUGCAAUUUUUUUUCUCCUUUUUUUUUUUCUCUCUCCUUUUUCUCCCCCUUUUUUUUUUUCUCUCUUUCAAUGUAGUGUAUGUUUGUAGGGGUGGCAGGGGAGGGGGGGCCUUAAUGCUGUGGUUUGAGGCUGACUUCACACUCCCAGCACUGACCGGACCUGCACGAUUCCGAACUCUAACUUGAAUUUUGUAGAGAUGAAACAAAUGAAAACAAAUGAAAUAUUAUCACUAGUUUGUAGUUUAUUUAAUUCUUUGGAGUUCUUUUCCUCUAUCAGCUAUUUGUGUGGCUUUUAUUUUUAUAGGGGGUUUUUUUGUUGUUUGUUUGUUUUUGUUUUGUUUGGUAUAUCCCCUACCCUCAGCUGUGUUUUUCCUAGCACAACCCCAUUCUUGAAUGGAAUGAAGCUCACAUUCCUGGGGCAGAGUGAUAAAAUGAUGCCCUGGAAUUUCUCAAAAUGGGAUGGGGCAAAAAGAUUUUACUUUAGUAGCAUUUGCUGCAGGUUCUGUACUUGUACAUUUUCCCUGUGUUCAGCUACUUAGAUAGUAUGGUGAUGGGCUCCAGGAGGAAUCCUUAGAUUAACACAAGCCACGUCUUGCAAAGCAGAUGUGAUGAUUUUGUACCGCCAGAACCAACAGGAUCUGUCAGUGACUGUGGGAGCAGGACUGAGCCCUCCUGGCAGCGUGUCCUGCCCGGGCACACGGAGCUGGUGCCAGGGGCAACCCGAGGGCUUCCUCGGGCCACUCGUGUCCCUGCUCCUCGUGGGAGCUGGGAACCUGCACUGUGACACUUGUCUCACCUCUCCCGGUCACAUCUCAGCGGCUCCACGCCCGAGUCACUGCACAGCAGCGGGGAGGGCAGAAGUGUGUGGAGGGAGGGGUGAGAGGUGUCCAGUGGCUCUGCAGGGCUGGACAGGACUCCCCGCGGCCGCUGCGCCCGGAGCCGCCCGCACGGGGCCGUGUCCCUCGUCCCGUGGGGCUGAGUGUGCCAGAAGGGCCCCAGUUUAUCUAUGCACACCAUUUUCUCCCCCCAGGCACCCUACUCCUCCCUAACACCUCAGCCCUUCUCCCAGACUUCUGUCACCUCUUGUGGCGGAGCUGGUGCAGGAGUGAGAGUUCUCUGCCACUGCUGGAGGUGACCCCCGAGCAGGGCUGACCCCAGAGGUCAGGGCCUGGCAGGACAGCGGCCACCCGGCCAGCCUGACCCCGUCCUCACCAGUCCUGUUCUGUAACUCCUACACUGUCUCUGUUUGCAACAACAACAAAAGAAAGUUGAACCCGACUUUUUAUUCUGCCAUGUUCAGGCUUUAAUUCAGCAAAACCCUUAAGCAGAAGACUCUGAGUGGGCCCAGGUUUAAGCCCGAGCUUAAGUGCUUUUCUGAACAAGGGCCUCAACAGCCCAACACCCGUCAGAGCAGGUGGUUUGUCAUUCCAAGCUCUCAUAUCAGUGGGACUGUCUAAAGAAUGACCAGAGAAAGAGAGGGAGAUUCAACUGGCUCUCUAAGAAGAGGAGAGAGGAAAUGGAACUGUUUUGUCCAAAACAAGAUAAAAACCAAACAAUAAUGAACCUUGAGAUGGACCCUCCUGAUUCUGCUACCAUUCACUGCUGAAGAGCAAAAAAUUAAAUAAAAACUAUUGACUAGAUUGUUCAUGCUAGCCACAAACUCAGCUGGAUUAAAGUCUGCGUGGAAGGAAUUUUGUAAAGAAAAAAAAAAAUUUAAAAAAAUUUUCCAAUGUAGCAAAAAAAAAACAACUUUAAAAAACAAAAAUUUAAAAAAAAAGACAAUGAGGGAGGAUUCUAGCCUUUUGUAAUAUCCAUAUUGCACACUAGGACUAUAAGCCAUUGCUAGCUCAUUUUGAAUUUUAAAUGUGUAAUUUUAUUUUGUUUUGUUGUUGUUUUUUUUUUUUCUUUCCAUGGGGGAGGGGGGAAAAUAAAUGCUUGAACCACCAAUGCUCUUUUUAAUGUUUUAUAAAUAUGUAUGUGUAUAUAUAUAAAUAUAAAAAUAAUAUGUAUGCACAUAUAUAUGUGUGUGUGUAUAUAUCUAUAUGUAUAUACAUAUAUAUAGAUAUAUAGAUAUAUAUAUAGGUUUUGAGACAAAAAUGCAGAAAGUGAAAAAAACACCCUAAACAGGAUGGUGUGCUCUGAUUUACUUGAAUCUGGUCUCUUCAGCACCUGCGUUAUUAAGAACUGAAUAUUUUUCCACUUGAAUUUAGUGCUAUUAGAAAUUUAAUAUAUGUGUUUUAUUUAUUUGAUUUUUUUUUUUUUUUUGCAUGACUGAUGCAAGGUUUGACAUUUUCACUCAAUAAAA
rnacentral:lncRNA from 1 species